GUGGGUAUAGCUCAGUGGUAGAGUGUGUGCUGAGCACGCAUGAGCUCCUGGGUUCAAUCCCCAGUACUUCCU
rnacentral:tRNA from 1 species